GAUGAACGCUGGCGGCGUGCUUAACACAUGCAAGUCGAACGAUGAAGCCCAGCUUGCUGGGUGGAUUAGUGGCGAACGGGUGAGUAACACGUGAGUAACCUGCCCUUAACUCUGGGAUAAGCCUGGGAAACUGGGUCUAAUACCGGAUAGGAGCGUCCACCGCAUGGUGGGUGUUGGAAAGAUUUAUCGGUUUUGGAUGGACUCGCGGCCUAUCAGCUUGUUGGUGAGGUAAUGGCUCACCAAGGCGACGACGGGUAGCCGGCCUGAGAGGGUGACCGGCCACACUGGGACUGAGAGACGGUCCAGACGCGUACGGGAGGCAGCAGGGGGGAAGAUUGGACAAAGGGCGCAAGCCUGAUCCAGCCAUACCGCGUGUGUGAAGAAGGCCUUCGGGUGGGAAAGCCCUUUUGUUGGGAAAGAAAAGAAGCAGGUUAAUACCCCGCUGGUCUGACGGUACCCAAAGAAUAAGCACCGGCUAACUUCGUG
rnacentral:rRNA from 1 species